UGCAGUUCCCAGAGCAGCAUCACUAAGUGAUCCCUGUGAAGCGAAGAUGGCUGUGAAAAUGAUGGGAGCCAGAGGGACAAACAGACUGUCACAUGCAGACCCUGGUUCUGGAGUUCUCAGCUGUGCAUCACCACUCUGCAGUCAAAAGUUUGCUGAUAGAACAGGGUGCCCGUCUGACCAAGUUACCUAUACAGCAAAUGCAAACAGUUCUGAGGGACACGUCCUCCACUGUGGCUCGGGAGGGAAGCUUGUAUCACUGAAGAAUGGUGUGCUUCUGGUUUGGGGUUGGGAGCAGCAGGACAUGGGCAGCCAAAGGAGGAGCAAAGGCAGUUUCACACAACGCGUGCACUGAAUGGCCACCACUCUUGUCGGAGGUUAGGAGGUGAAUUAGCCUGGUUCACAGGUUUCACAAUAAACUCCAUCUUCUGUAUGA